rnacentral:rRNA from 1 species
UACGGAGGGUGCGAGCGUUGUUCGGAAUCACUGGGCGUAAAGGGCGUGUAGGUGGUUGCGUAAGUCUGGCGUGAAAUAUCUCGGCUUAACCGAGGCAGGUCGUCGGAUACUGCGUAACUGGAGGACGGUAGAGGCGUGUGGAAUUCCGGGUGUAGUGGUGAAAUGCGUAGAGAUCCGGAGGAACACCAGUGGCGAAGGCGACACGCUGGGCCGUACCUGACACUGAUGCGCGACAGCAUGGGGAGCAAACAGG